GAUAAUAGUUAAUUAUAACAUUUGAUUUGCAUUCAAAAAGUGCUGUAUAAUCAGCUUAUCUU
rnacentral:tRNA from 1 species